rnacentral:rRNA from 1 species
AACUUAAAGGAAUUGACGGGACCCCGCACAAGCGGUGGAUCAUGUUGUUUAAUUCGAUGAUACGCGAAGAACCUUACCAGGUCUGACAUCCCCCGCGAUGCUUUAGAGAUAAAGCGGAGGUAUUCGGGGAGACAGGUGGUGCAUGGUUGUCGUCAGCUCGUGUCGUGAGAUGUUGGGUUAAGUCCCGUAACGAGCGCAACCCUUGUCCUUAGUUACCAGCACGUUAUGGUGGGCACUCUAAGGAGACUGCCGGUGACAAACCGGAGGAAGGUGGGGAUGACGUCAAGUCAUCAUGGCCCUUACGGCCUGGGCUACACACGUGCUACAAUGGUCGGUACAAAGGGUUGCCAAGCCGCGAGGUGGAGCUAAUCCCAUAAAACCGAUCGUAGUCCGGAUCGCAGUCUGCAACUCGACUGCGUGAAGUCGGAAUCGCUAGUAAUCGUGAAUCAGAAUGUCACGGUGAAUACGUUCCCGGGCCUU